UCGAUGCCUUACAUGCAGACCAACUCGUGAAUUUGUUUGAAUACAUAGGGAUGGCACGGGUGUUUUGGCACCACGACCUCCCUUUUGGGUAGGAGGGGGUGCGUCCCCCUCUUGCCUGAACACAAACCCCGGCGUUCAAUGCGCCAAGGAACCAAAAUUCGAUCAAUGCGCCCCGUCGGCCCGGAGACGGUGCUCUGGCGGUGGUGCCUUGUCACAUGAUAC
rnacentral:misc_RNA from 1 species